rnacentral:tRNA from 1 species
UCCUCAGUAGCUCAGUGGUAGAGCGGUCGGCUGUUAACCGAUUGGUCAUAGGUUCAAUCCCUAUCUGAGGAG